GAUGAAGAACUUAGCGAAAUGCGAUAAGUAAUGUGAAUUGCAGAAUUCCGUGAAUCAUCGAAUCUUUGAACGCACAUUGCGCCCGCCAGUAUUCUGGCGGGCAUGCCUGUUCGAGCGUCAUUACAACCCUCAGGCCCCCGGGCCUGGCGUUGGGGAUCGGCGGAAGCCCCCUGCGGGCACAACGCCGUCCCCCAAAUACAGUGGCGGUCCCGCCGCAGCUUCCAUUGCGUAGUAGCUAACACCUCGCAACUGGAGAGCGGCGCGGCCACGCCGUAAAACACCCAACUUCUGAAUGUUGACCUCGAAUCAGGUAGGAAUACCCGCUGAACUUAAGCAUAUCAAUAAGCGGAGGA
rnacentral:misc_RNA from 1 species